rnacentral:rRNA from 1 species
GAUGAACGCUGGCGGCGUGCCUAAUACAUGCAAGUCGAGCGAACAGACGAGGAGCUUGCUCCUCUGACGUUAGCGGCGGACGGGUGAGUAACACGUGGAUAACCUACCUAUAAGACUGGGAUAACUUCGGGAAACCGGAGCUAAUACCGGAUAAUAUAUUGAACCGCAUGGUUCAAUAGUGAAAGACGGUUUUGCUGUCACUUAUAGAUGGAUCCGCGCCGCAUUAGCUAGUUGGUAAGGUAACGGCUUACCAAGGCAACGAUGCGUAGCCGACCUGAGAGGGUGAUCGGACACACUGGAACUGAGACACGGUCCAGACUCCUACGGGAGGCAGCAGUAGGGAAUCUUCCGCAAUGGGCGAAAGCCUGACGGAGCAACGCCGCGUGAGUGAUGAAGGUCUUCGGAUCGUAAAACUCUGUUAUUAGGGAAGAACAAAUGUGUAAGUAACUAUGCACGUCUUGACGGUACCGAAUCAGAAAGCCACGGCUAACUACGU